rnacentral:rRNA from 1 species
UUUGAUCAUGGCUCAGAACGAACGCUGGCGGCGCGCCUAAUACAUGCAAGUCGAACGAGAAUGUGUAGCAAUACACAUGUACAGUGGCGAACGGGUGAGGACUACAUGGGUAACCUACCCUCGAGUGGGGAAUAACUAGCCGAAAGGUUAGCUAAUACCGCGUACGCUUCCAAGACUGCGGUUUUGGAAGGAAAGCGAUACCGUGGGUAUCGCGCUCUUGGAUGGGCUCAUGCCCUAUCAGCUUGUUGGUGAGGUAACGGCUCACCAAGGCUUCGACGGGUAGCUGAUCUGAGAGGAUGAUCAGCCACACUGGCACUGCGACACGGGCCAGACUCCUACGGGAGGCAGCAGUAAGGAAUAUUGCGCAAUGGGCGAAAGCCUGACGCAGCGACGCCGCGUGGGGGAUGAAGGUCUUCGGAUUGUAAACCCCUUUCGGGAGGGAAGAUGGGAUGGGGUAACCCAUUCGGACGGUACCUCCAGGAGCAGCCACGGCUAACUUCGUGCCAGCAGCCGCGGUAAUACGAAGGUGGCAAGCGUUGUUCGGAUUUACUGGGCGUACAGGGAGCGUAGGCGGUUGGAUAAGCCCUCCGUGAAAUCUCCAGGCUUAACCUGGAAAGUGCAGAGGGGACUGUUCAGCUAGAGGAUGGGAGAGGAGCGCGGAAUUCCCGGUGUAGCGGUGAAAUGCUUAG